GCCACUUGGUGGCCUUUUGGCUAAGAUCAAGUGUAGUAUCUGCUCUUAUCAGUUUAAUAGCUGAUAUGUCCUUAGAGGACUUCAUAUUAAAUGGAUUUAUGGGGUGUGGCAGUUGGAUUUGGAGCUUGCUUCCUCCACUCCAUGCAUCGUCCUGGUAUUGCAGGGCCUUCAGAAAUGGGGCAGCAAUG